UGGGGAAUAUUGCACAAUGGAGGAAACUCUGAUGCAGCGACGCCGCGUGAACGAUGAAGGCCUUCGGGUCGUAAAGUUCUGUCCUUGGGGACGAUAAUGACGGUACCCAAGGAGGAAGCCCCGGCUAACUACGUGCCAGCAGCCGCGGUAAUACGUAGGGGGCGAGCGUUGUCCGGAAUUAUUGGGCGUAAAGGGUUCGCAGGCGGUUGUAUAAGUCAGGUGUGAAAGGCGCAAGCUUAACUUGUGUAAGCACUUGAAACUGUACGACUUGAGUUAAGGAGAGGAAAGUAGAAUUCCUAGUGUAGCGGUGAAAUGCGUAGAUAUUAGGAGGAAUACCAGUGGCGAAGGCGACUUUCUGGACUUAUACUGACGCUGAGGAACGAAAGCGUGGGGAGCAAACAGG
rnacentral:rRNA from 2 species